rnacentral:rRNA from 1 species
GAUGAACGCUGGCGGCGUGCCUAAUACAUGCAAGUCGAGCGAAUGGAUUAAGAGCUUGCUCUUAUGAAGUUAGCGGCGGACGGGUGAGUAACACGUGGGUAACCUGCCCAUAAGACUGGGAUAACUCCGGGAAACCGGGGCUAAUACCGGAUAACAUUUUGAACCGCAUGGUUCGAAAUUGAAAGGCGGCUUCGGCUGUCACUUAUGGAUGGACCCGCGUCGUAUUAGCUAGUUGGUGAGGUAACGGCUCACCAAGGCAACGAUGCGUAGCCGACCUGAGAGGGUGAUCGGCCACACUGGGACUGAGACACGGCCCAGACUCCUACGGGAGGCAGCAGUAGGGAAUCUUCCGCAAUGGACGAAAGUCUGACGGAGCAACGCCGCGUGAGUGAUGAAGGCUUUCGGGUCGUAAAACUCUGUUGUUAGGGAAGAACAAGUGCUAGUUGAAUAAGCUGGCACCUUGACGGUACCUAACCAGAAAGCCACGGCUGACUACGUGCCAGCAGCCGCGGUAA